GACGAACGCUGGCGGCGUGCUUAACACAUGCAAGUCGAACGGAAAGGCCCUGCUUUUGUGGGGUGCUCGAGUGGCGAACGGGUGAGUAACACGUGAGUAACCUGCCCUUGACUUUGGGAUAACUUCAGGAAACUGGGGCUAAUACCGGAUAGGAGCUCCUGCCGCAUGGUGGGGGUUGGAAAGUUUCGGCGGUUGGGGAUGGACUCGCGGCUUAUCAGCUUGUUGGUGGGGUAGUGGCUUACCAAGGCUUUGACGGGUAGCCGGCCUGAGAGGGUGACCGGCCACAUUGGGACUGAGAUACGGCCCAGACUCCUACGGGAGGCAGAAGUGGGGAAUAUUGCACAAUGGGCGGAAGCCUGAUGCAGCAACGCCGCGUGCGGGAUGACGGCCUUCGGGUUGUAAACCGCUUUCGCCUGUGACGAAGCGUGAGUGACGGUAAUGGGUAAAGAAGCACCGGCUAACUACGUG
rnacentral:rRNA from 1 species